GAUAAAGCUAAAAAAGUAAGGGUUUCUUGCUAGUGGUACUUCAAUAAGACUUGAAACUGCUUUUUCAAUCAGCUCUAUUAAAGUAUAAUCACCUUUAUAUAAGAUGUACUUAUGAAAUCAUGUUGCGUAAGAGCCAGGUGGGUAUCGAUUUGGAUCUAGAUAUGGAACUAAUGAAUUUGGAUCAUGAACAACUAUUAGCAGCCCAGAUCGUACGCUAAGGUCCCUAAGCAAUCGCUUAGUGGAAAAGGAAGUGAUCAAGCGAUGACAACCAGGAGGUGGGCUUGGAAGCAACUAACCUUUGAAGAAAGCAUAAUAGCUCACUGGUCUAGCUCCAUGGCACCGAAAAUGUAUCGUGGCUCAAGUGAUUCACCGAAGCGACGAGACCUUGGAAGCGUUAAGCGGGCUCUAAAGACCCAAGGUUCUUCAUUGCUCACCCGAAGAAUGAGGGUGAGGAGAGCGUUUAGCUCGUCUCGACCAAAGGGAGAGGAGGGCGAGUAAGCGAGGCGCCAACCAAGUGUCAAUAGCGGGACGUUCUGUCAAUCGGGGAAGGGACAACACCUAGAGAUAUCAUAAGUGCGAAUGCUGACAUGAGUAACAAUGAAUCAUGUGAAAAACAUGAUCACCUGCCAGUUCCAGGGUUUCUGCGUUCAGUCAAUCUACGCAGAGUGAAUCAGUCCCUAAGGAACCCCCGAAUGGGCUUUCGUCCGAUGGGUACACGAAAGUGACGAAGUUGCCCCGACUACUAAACCAUGCAUGUUUGUUGAAGUGAAUUGGAUGUCUGUUGAAGUGAAUUGGAUGAGAGUUCGAUUUUCCAACCAACCAAAUUGAAUGAAUGCAAAAGUGCACUUCUGUUAGGGUUUCAACUUCCAAGAAAAAACUUCGAAUUGGGAGGGCGAUCCUCCCGGUGAACUAACCGUACCCCAAACCGACACGGGUGAACAAGUAGAGUAUACUAGGGCGCUUGAGAGAACCAUGUUGAAGGAACUCGACAAAAUGACCCCGUAACUUCGGGAGAAGGGGUGCUCUGCCUCCUAUCUUUGGGUUGGGAAAGCGGCACAUACCAGGGUGUAGCGAUUGUUUAUUAAAAACACAGGACUCUGCCAAGUGGUAACACAAUGUAUAGAGUCUGACACCUGCCCGGUGCUGGAAGGUUGGCAAGAGAAGUGUGAUAAGCUUCGAAUGGAAGCCCCGGUAAACGACGACAAUAACUCUAACUGUCCUAAGGUAGCGAAAUUCCUUGUGGCAUAAGUAGCGACCUGCACGAAUGGUGUAACGACUGCCUCGCUAUCUCCGACAUGGACCCAGUAAAUUGAAUUCUCCCUGAAGAUGCAGAGUACCAACGACUAGACGGUAAGACCCCGUGCACCUUGACUAUAGCUUCGCAGUGACAACCUCUUACGAAUGUGUGGGAUAGGUGGGAGGUGGGGAACUAUCAAUCCUGGAAUACCAUUCUUUCGUCUAAGGAUGCCUAACCGCUUCUUUCUCUAGAUUGAUUCUCAGGGCGUGACACUGCAAGCUGGGUAGUUUAUCUGGGGCAGAUGCCUCCUAAAGAGUAACGGAGGUGUGCGAAGGAAGGCGCUUUCUAUAAGAAAGUGUAAUGGUCUAAGCCUGCCUGACUGUGAGACUCACCGGUCGAACAGAGACGAAAGUCGGCCAUAGUGAUCCGGGAGUCCUGCGUGGAAGGGCUUUCGCUCAACGGAUCAAAGGUACGCCGGGGAUAACAGGCUGAUGACUCCCAAGAGCUCUUAUCAACGGAGUCGUUUGGCACCUCGAUGUCGACUCAUCACAUCCUGGGGUUGAAGAAGGUCAGCAGUUGUUUCUCUUGACUUUGAAGCAAAGGCAUGGGCAGCUAAACUAGUAUAGGCAUCACCCGCAUAAGCAAAGGCAAAAGUAGGAGUCCCACUACAAUUAGCAAUUGCAUAUUGCUAACGGGUUUACUAGGGCCUCCGGGACUUCGUUUUCCACCACGGGGGGUAACCAGCAACUCGUGCAAGAUGCACCGUUGUAGCAGUACUUGGUCCCGGCUUGCUAGGAAAGGAAAGGCUCCAGAGAACGCUGAUCGGGCUGGUUUGACCGGGG
rnacentral:ncRNA from 1 species